rnacentral:lncRNA from 1 species
GGUACUCGAGCCAGGCCCUAGUGGAGUCUACCAAACAAAGAGGGAGGUACUGGAUGAUGAAGUAUUCAUCUUCGGCCCCUCCCACCCGAUAGGCUAGUCGGUAAUCCUCGAGCCAUACCCGGGGAUUAGUAUCCCCGACGUAUUUGGCGACGUGCGUCGGUGGACGGAAGCGUAGGAGGAAAGGCGCAUUGCGGAUUCUCCGCCCGAAGGCUGGGGGCCCGGGCCCAUUGGGGCUGGGG